GUGUGUGUGUGUGUGUAUAAGCAUGCCAGUGCUCUUUUCCUAGGUCUCAGUACAUAACAGGCCCCACAUAGGGAGGAAUAGGCAGGAGCUUCCUAAUCUCUCAGGAUUUCUAAUUUUCAAACCAACUCUGUGGAGGAGGGUUGUGGGGAAACCUCGGCCUAGAAGGUCUGAAUAUUUCUGAACUCUGGACUCUGAUUGUCAUGUACAUUGUGCAGCAUCUGCCUGUCUAUAGGCCCCAGCUUCUCAAUUAUCCAAUGAGGGUGUGCUUCAGAACUGCUUAAAUGUGAGCUCAGUAUAAAGGGAGCCCAGUUCUCUCCACCCUGGGUGGGCUGUGGACAGAGGUGCACAUCUGUGGUUCCAAAUCUGGGCUCCUUUACAGACAAAUUCUGGCCAAUGCCUGUCUAGGCUGCCGAAUGCUCACCUUCUCUCCAUACCAACUCCAUGUCUGUACACGAUUCCACCAGCACAGCCUUUUCCAGAGCCCCUGAGCAAACCUGGGUGCACCUAGGAUCCCAACUUUGAGGACACACAGCUGGGUUUAUCUCAGGCUCUGCAUUCUGACCGUCUGUGAUCCUAGGCAAGGCAUGGACCCCUCGAGUAACCUGUUCUCUCCUCAGUGACUCUCCAUCAUCUUCACCUUCCUUGUGUGGUGUGAAUGGGUGCCCUUCCCUUUAAGUGUGGGUGUCAGUAGUGACGCCAUAGAAGACGGCAAAGGAAUCCAACUCCCAUGAUUUGGUUACAAAAUGUCAGUGCCUAACCCAGACAGAGUGGCUCAGGCAUUGUCCUGUGAACUGGAAGAUUGCUGAUUUCAUUCUUGGUCAGGUCACAUACAUAGGUUGUGGUUUUGAUCCCCCCAGGCAGGGUGUGUACAUGAGACAGCCAACCAAUGCUUCUCUCUCACAUUCAUGUUUCUCUCUCUCUCUCUCUCUCUCUCUCUCUCUCUCUCUCUCUCUCUCUCUCUCUCAACAAUUUUUUUUAAAGUUUUUUUAAAAAGUCACUGCCUAUGCACUUGAUCACUCUGACCUGUGUUCUCUCUUUGACUCUCAAAGGACAAAGCAGCCAGUCUAGUCAAGCACUGGAUAAUGAGCACUGCGGAAGGAAAGCAAUCCCAGUUUUGGGAUUUAUCUUAAACUCUAACAAGACAGAAACAUAGAUGUGUGUAUGUGUAAGAUGUUUAUCAGGGCCUUGUUAACACACACACACACACACACACACACACACACACACACCCCAACUUAAACUCCCUCCAUUAGAGAUACAAGGAAAGCACAGACUCCAUACUAUUAAGGGCACACAGUGAAGCCAUUUUAAGUCAUAGGACCUACUCCUCGCUGUCACUGUGAGAAGGAAAGGAGCAAAUUCAUGCAAAGUAUGCGGCACUGGCUGAACACGCUCCUUGCUGCACAAGGAACCUGAAAUUCUUCUCACUGUCAACAGCCUUGUUUGCCCCUUUCAUGACCCAGAGGAACUGGGCCCAUCACCCUGUCACCCUAAGCUUAGA